GAUGAAGAACGCAGCGAAAUGCGAUACGUAAUGUGAAUUGCAGAUCUCUCAGUGAACCAUCGAAUUUUUGAACGCACAUUGCGCCCGGUAGUAUUCUGCCGGGCAUGCCUGUUCGAGCGUCAUUUCAACCAUCAAGCCCCAGCGCUUGUGUUGGGGGCCUGCGGCUGCCGCAGCCCCCUAAAAGCAGUGGCGGGCUCGCUAUCACACCGAGUGCAGUAGUUCAUCUUCUCUCCGGUCUUGUGAGGCGGGUUCCGGCCGUGAAACACCCCACUACAUUCAAGGUUGACCUCGGAUCAGGUAGGAAUACCCGCUGAACUUAAGCAUAUCAAUAAGCGGAGGA
rnacentral:misc_RNA from 1 species